CAGUCGCCACGGUAAUCCGUAGGGUGCAAGCGUUAAUCGGAAUUACUGGGCGUAAAGCGUGCGCAGGCGGUUCGCUAAGACAGAUGUGAAAUCCCCGGGCUUAACCUGGGAACUGCAUUUGUGACUGGCGGGCUAGAGUAUGGCAGAGGGGGGUAGAAUUCCGCGUGUAGCAGUGAAAUGCGUAGAGAUGUGGAGGAAUACCGAUGGCGAAGGCAGCCCCCUGGGCCAAUACUGACGCUCAUGCACGAAAGCGUGGGGAGCAAACAGGAUUAGAUACCCCUGUAGUCCCUGUCUCUUAUAC
rnacentral:rRNA from 1 species